CCGAAAUUUUCGGUUAACUUUCCUUCUUUUUAAAUCAAUUGCCGCUCAAAAAGAAUACAGUUAAUGUUUCCAUUUUUUCUUGAUUAAAGCUUCCUUUUUGUUUUGAUUUCCCUGAUUUUACGUGAUUACCAUGAUGAAAGUUUACCAUGUUUGCAAAGGAAACGAAUAUGGACGUUAUCUCGAGCACAAGCCGUAACCGCGUAAACAUCUUGUUGUCUUUCCAUUCUGCCUAUGACCGCUGAUUUCUCGGUGAUUGAUGUCAUUCCGCAUUUCCAUAUUUGUGGCGCACAACGAAUCUUGACCUAUUAUCGCACACGUGCAAAUCAAUCAUUCUCGGUUGCCAUAUUUUACGACUCUUGUGAACACUAUAAAACCGAACCUUCUUCACGGUUAAACAUCCCUCACAACUCACCUUUUUCUCUGCCUCGAACCAUACACCCUUCGCCGUAGUUCGAGGAUCAUCAUCGGAGCGUGUGGAAGUCGCCGGACAUUCGCCGGAGAUCGGAGACACCGCCGAAGACGUCGGAGUUCACGACGGAGUAUAGCUCGAUUCGUGUUCGGAUAAACAUAUCUCGUUCGUUCUUUUGGAAUUCACCACCUUUACUCGUGCGCUUUACAAGAAAUCGCAACGCAAUCAAUGUUGUUAGAUGAAGUGAUCAAGAAAACAAGCUAGGAUGAACCUAGAAACCCAUUUCAGCAAUUAAACAAUGCUUGAAUUUAUGUUUACUAUUUGAAACAAUGUAUCACUCCUUAUAAUUUAAUAAAAUGAUUUAAUUUAUAUUGUCA